rnacentral:snoRNA from 1 species
GCAGACUCACUCUGCACCUGGCUGCAGCCCCAGGCGGGUGCUUUUUCCGUCUGCCAGAGUAACAUCCCAGGAUGCUGUGACCACCUUGACCUGUCAUGGGUGAUGCAGUUGUCUGGGGACACGGUG